UACGUAGGGUGCAGGCGUUAAUCGGAAUUACUGGGCGUAAAGCGCGUGUAGGCGGUCCGGUAAGUCCGCUGUGAAAGUCGGGGGCUCAACCCUCGAAUGCCGGUGGAUACUGUCGGGCUAGAGUGCGGAAGAGGCGAGUGGAAUUCCUGGUGUAGCGGUGAAAUGCGCAGAUAUCAGGAGGAACACCAAUUGCGAAGGCAGCUCGCUGGGACGUUACUGACGCUGAGACGCGAAAGCGUGGGGAGCAAACAGG
rnacentral:rRNA from 1 species